rnacentral:misc_RNA from 1 species
CUGCUCCAACAGGUGAGCUUCAUCAUUGUUGCUUUCUUCAUUACUGAAUGGCUUCUCACAGAUGCAAGGAGAUGGAUAUUCAUGGAACUCACCUCGUCCAGGUCUCAUCUCAUCCGGCUGAGAGGGACUCUCUGGCAUGAUUUCACUUUUUUAGCAAAUGUAUCCCAGUCCAUCUUAUCCCUCUCCAUUAACAAUGCACUCAGCCUCUUUGCAUUUGGUCUGAUAGUCCUCUUAUGCCCUGCAUACCUCCUUCGACCUGCAAGAAUCUUGGCCAUGUUUCCAUUAUUAUUGGUGACAAAAACAUCACUUUCAUCACAGACUAUGUAGUCAAUGGCUGCCAGGCGGGAAGAAAAUGGAAGAAAAGGUUUCAGCUCUUCAUUAGCAAGCAUCUCCUUCGUGUAGAAGUUUGGAAACAGUUCUCUAAGCGCAGAGUGUCUUCUCCACCAUAUAUUUCUCCAGAUGCAACAUAGAUAUAUGUGUCAUUAGCAAAUCCAAGAGCACGCAGCAUCAAUCCCACUUCAUGAGGGGUAAGUGGGCAUUUCCCUCUUGCUCGCUCUUCCUCUGCACUUAAAUCUGGUAAUGUUGUCCAUCUCUUUCUUAUUUCACCUAGCUCAAAUUUCUCCUUUUCUCCCCCACCAUAGUAACAUCCAGAAAAUGCAAGCAUAUCAGGUUCAAACCUCAAGUGAAUUGCAAUAAAUUGUUUUGCCAUCUUUCUCAUUUUCAUAACAAGUCUUUGACCAAUAUCUUGUA